GCCGGCGUGGCGCAGCUGGUAGCGCAAGCGAUUUGUAAUCGCUAGGUCGUCGGUUCGAGUCCGACCGCCGGCU
rnacentral:tRNA from 1 species